rnacentral:rRNA from 1 species
AUACCUUUGACCUAUCAGAAAUGAAUGAGCUUAAUACCCAUCUCAACACCUUUCGAUCUAUCAAGAUAAAGGAUUUCUAAUAUAGCCAACAACAUUCUAUUUUAAAUGGCCAUUGUUUGUGGGUUUGUGUGACCUAAUAAGAGAGCUUAUUUAAAAGGGGAAAUUAUAGUAAACCCACUUAUGGUUUGGCUCGUUUUCACUUUGCCUACCUGUGGUUUAAAACUUAGCACUUGGCCCACCUAAGGUUACUUCCAUUAGGGCUCCGUUAUCCACCUCUGUUAAAAAGAAGGUUAAAUAUGUAUUUUUGCACUCUUUUUAUGUCUUUUUCCUCCCAAAACAUAAAACACAUAAGAAUUCAAGAGAAAACAAGAUCAAAAUGUGCUAUUGGUAAAAAAUAUUGUGCAAUUUCUUAGAACUUCAACUUGUGUUUGAACUUAUCAUCUCAACCACAAACAAACUAAUUGCACAUCUAAAAGCAUGAUAGAGCCGUAUGAGAAAAAUUAGAUAAAAAUCAAAAUUCCUAAUCUAACUCAACAACAUUCAAAUAAAUCAAAUCAAAUCUCCUACUCCUCAUGUCCCUGCCAAAAAAAAAUUGAAAACCCAAAAAAGUUCAAAAACUUGAAACCCAAAACUGGCACUAUAAACACCAUUAGAACCCACAACUACCACUAGCACACCCACAGUCCACAACCACUGCCCCAAAUUUCCCUCAAAUUUUUCUAAGCAAAACAACACCCAAUUGCCCGAAUAUGAGGUCGUCGAUUUCACGGCGAUGAUGGUGACCUCAAUGGAGCGGCCGUUGAAGGAUCGAAAGUUGUUGUUGGAGUGUAAGCAGAGGGAUUUUUAUAGCAUUUUGGUGGCGUCGAUUAAGCAAGAAAAGGAGCAGCAACGAGUUAAGUCACAACAGAGGAAAGACGGGCUUGUUGCGAAGAAUCGGCUGAUGGGUUCAGAGGAAACUCGGUACGACAUUGAUGAGUUUUACCAACAACGGUGAUGGUGACCUUGAUUUCAUGGCGUUGAGACAGUGCUUUUUGAAUUUUAGCGUGAGAGAUGAGAGAGAGAUUUUCUUUUAGUGUGUUAUAGAGACAUUUUGUGCUUGGGUUAUGGGGUUUAAUGUGUUAUAGAGAUAUUAAAAAAGGUCUCAAUGUAGACCUUUUUUAAUGGUAGUAGCAAAUAUUCAAAUGAGAACUUUGAAGGCCGAAGGGGGAAAGGUUCCAUGUGAACGGCACUUGCACAUGGAUUAGUCGAUCUAAGAGACGGGGGAAGCUCGUCUGAUAGAGUGCUAAGCGCGAGCUUCGAAAGGGAAUUGAGUUAAAAUUCCUAAACCGGGACGUGACGGCUGACAAAAAUGUUAGGGAGUCCAGAGACGUCGGUAGGGGCCUCGAGAAGAGUUAUCUUUUUUGUUCAAUAGCUUGCUCACCCUAUAAAUGGCUCAACUAGAGGUAGGGUCCAGUGGUUGGAAAAGCGCCGCAUGUCACGUGGUGUCCGGUGCGCCCCUAGCAACCCUUGAAAAUCCGGAGGACCGAGUGCCUCCCACGCCCGGUCGUACUCAUAACGGUAUCAGGUCUCCAAGGUAAACAACCUCUGGUUGAUGGAACAAUGUAGGCAAGGGAAGUCAACAAAAUGGAUCUACAACCUCGGGAAAAGGAUUGGCUCUGAGGGCUGGGCAUGGGGGUCCCAGUCUUGAACUUGUUGGCUAUCGGCUAUCGGCUAAAUGCUCGAGCUGCUCCCGCAGUGAGAGUGGGUCGUUGCGUGCCGGCCAGGGGACGGACUAGGAACGACCACCUUGGCAGUCUUCCCUGGGCGUUGAACAGUCAACUCAGAGCUAGUACGAACAAGGGGAAUCCGACUGUUUAAUUAAAACAAAGCAUUGCGAUGGUCCCUUUGGAUGUUCACGCAAUGUGAUUUCAGUCUAGUGCUCUGAAUGUCAAAGUGAAGAAAUUCAACCAAGCACGGGUAAACGGCAAGAGUAACUAUAACUCAUUUAAGGUGGCCAAAUGCCUUGUCAUCUAAUUAGUGACGUGCAUAAAUGGAUUAAAAAGAUUCCCAUUGUCCCUGUCUACUAUCCAGCGAAACCACAGCCAAAGGAAUGGGCUUGGCAGAAUCAGCGGGGAAAGAAGACCUUGUUGAGCUUAACUCUAAUCUGACUUUGUGAAAUGACUUGAGAGGUGUAGGAUAAGUGGCAGCUGAAAGGCGAAAGUGAAAUACCACUACUUUGAAUGUUAUUUUACUUAUUUCGUGAAUCAGAAGUGGGGCUCUACCCCUCUUUUUGGACCCAAGGCUCGCCUCAGCGGGCCGAUCUAGGCGGAAGACAUUGUCAGGUGAGGAGUUUGGCUGGGGCGGCACAUCUGUUAAAAGAUAAUACAGGUGUCCUAAGAUGAACUCAAUAAGAACAGAAAUCUCAUGUGGAACAAAAGGGUAAAAGCUCAUUUGAUUCUGAUUUCCAGUACGAAUACAAAUCCUGAAUGCAUGGCCUAUCAAUCCUUUAGACCUUUGGAAUUUGAAGCUAGAGGUGUCAAAAAAGUUACCAUAGGGAUAAAUGGCUUGUGGCAACCAAGUGUUCAUAGUAAUGUUGCUUUUUUAUCCUUCGAUGUCGGCUCUUCCUAUCAUUGUGAAGCAGAAUUCAUCAAGUGUUGGAUUGUUCACCCACCAAUAGGGAACGUGAGUUGGGUUUAUACCGUCAUGAGACAGGUUAGUUUUACCCUACUAAUGACACUGUCGCAAUAGUAAUUCAACCUAGUACGAGAGGAAUCAUUGAUUCGCACAAUUGGUUAUCGCGUUUGGUUAAAAAGCUAGUGGCACGAAGUUACCGUGUGCUGGAUUAUGAGUGAACACCUCUAAGUCAGAAUUCAGGCUAGAAGCGAUGCGUGCGCCUGCUGCCCGAUUGCCUACCUACAGUAGGGGCCCUCAAGCCCCUAGAGGCACAUGUCUUUGGCUAAGCCCCUAUGGCGGACGAGCCACAUGAACCGCCUUGAAGUGUAAUUACCACAGAGCGACGGGUAGAAUUCUUUGUAGAUGACUUAAAUAUGUGACAGGGUAUUGUAAGUGGUAGAGUAGCCUUGCUGCCACGAUCCAUUAAGAUUUAGCCCUGUGUUACUUCGAUUCGU